rnacentral:lncRNA from 1 species
UCCAUGUUAAACCUGAUAAUCAAAUGACUGGAAAUCCUGAAGAACCAUCGAGGUAGAUGAAAAUAUUUUAUUCCUUCCACCUAUAAUCUAUCGAUGUUUCCAUCAUUCUAUGGGAUCAAACAUUCAGACUUUAGUCCUAAGGUCGAUUUGAGCCUGAUAGUCCAAAAAUUAUAUAAAGUCGACCUACUUAUAGAUAAAUUUCUAGCCCUA